rnacentral:misc_RNA from 1 species
GCAAGGAAUUCAUAAAUCAUUAAUGUCAAAGAAAAUCUGUAAGUUUUGGAGAUAAAUUCUAAGUACAUAUGUAGAGAAAAAGGGAAGAAGAAACAAAAAUAGCUUUUAAUAUGAGGAAAUUUCACCAUAAUAAUGCCUUUAUAGAUCUGUUUAAUAGAAUGCAGGAACAUGGCCAAGUCAAUGUCUAUUUGCACGAGCAAACAUGGUUUCAUCUCUCUUUCACUUUGUAAUAAAAAUUAAAAAUGUGGUCUAUGAGUAUCCAAAUCAAACAGGUUGAACACUAGACAAUGUAUUGAAUAAUAGUACCCAAAUCACUUAACAACGAGAAAGUACACAGAAAAUUUUCAAAAUACCUCUCCCCCUAAAA